CAAAAAAAGACCGAAUACGAUUCCUGUAUUCGGUCCAGGGAAAUGGCUCUUGGGAGAGAGCCGUGCGCUAAAAGUUGGCAUUAAUGCAGGCUAAGUCGCCAUGCACUUUAAGAAUAGAUGACGACGCCAGGUUUUCCAGUU
rnacentral:sRNA from 1 species